GGAUACUUCAGAAAUUUGCAUUCUCAUCUUAUCAUACUCUUGGUCAAAAAUCAUAUCAAGAACUACUUAGGAGAUUCGCUUUAAUUCCUAAGCAAUUUAAGAUCACUUGGAGGCUUUCAUUCAUCAUUCAUCCUUCAUCCUUACAUGUGUUUUGUGUUAUCAAAUUGAAGAAUUGCUUUUACUUGGAGGACAACAUCCAUUCGGAUUUGGUGGAGAUUCAAGGAAAAAUUGGAGCUUUUCAUUCUAGCCUUGGCUGAACCUUGCUUGGUGGACUCCCAUUGGAUUUUUAAGUUUGUUAUUAAUAAAGGGAGCUUAUUUUCCUUGUUUAUGAAUUCUUUAAUUUGUGUUUUGUGUUUGUUUGCUAGCAUGAGCGAGUAGUUUGUUAAUCUAGUAAGAGGAUUGCUAAACUAUGAACAUUAACUUAUGAGAUUUAGAUUUUUUGGUUAAUAAAGUUUAGUUUUUAUCCAUAUGAAUAUUCUUUAUCUUAAAUAUUGAAGUAUAGAUUUAUGCAUAGUUGUUUAGCUUGAUUACCUAAAUGGUUAUGUAUGGAAUUCAAU
rnacentral:misc_RNA from 1 species